rnacentral:rRNA from 1 species
AAGUUCCUUCGGGAGCGAGUAGAGCGGCGGACGGGUGAGUAACGCGUAGAAAUCUGCCCAGUAGUGGGGGAUAACCCGGGGAAACUCGGGCUAAUACCGCAUACGUCCUACGGGAGAAAGCAGGGGACCUUCGGGCCUUGCGCUAUUGGAUGAGUCUGCGUCGGAUUAGCUAGUUGGUGGGGUAAGGGCCCACCAAGGCGACGAUCCGUAGCUGGUCUGAGAGGAUGAUCAGCCACACUGGGACUGAGACACGGCCCAGACUCCUACGGGAGGCAGCAGUGGGGAAUAUUGGACAAUGGGCGCAAGCCUGAUCCAGCCAUGCCGCGUGUGUGAAGAAGGCCUUCGGGUUGUAAAGCACUUUCAGUGGGGAGGAAAUGCCCAGGGUGAAUAGCGCUGGGAGUUGACGUUACCCACAGAAGAAGCACCGGCUAAUUCCGUG